UUUUGUAUUGGCUAAUGGCUACUACUUAUUGAAAACCGAUCAAGGAAAUGCCUCAAUUCGCCAUACAAUCAUACAACAACAACAAUUUCGAAAAACCUAAAGGGGAAAUUACAGGUAACGAUAAAGAAACGGUAUGCACAAGCAUGGGGAAAACAUCAAUAUAGACAUGGCAACAUACCUGCAUCCCUUUUGCUCCGCCUUGCUCUCAAUCUUCUUCUUCUUCUUCUUCUUCUAAUUUGUGUGCUUUUGCUUGUAUGGUAUCUGCGAAUCCUCUUCUGCUUAUUGUUUAAUCCUCAUGCUGUAACCUGGAAAACUACAGCAGUAACUUGUGAUUAGAACUAAGUUAUUUAUGUUUCAACUGAGAUUGCUAACUUUCCAUGAAAACCCGACUGCUUGUACGUUUUGCAGCUUUGAUCCUAUGAUUGCUAUAACCUUCAACUUGACAUUAAUCUUAUGGACUACAAUAUUAACUCAUAUCUUUGAAUGCUUUUGACAGGUUUAUAUAUUCACUCAAGCAGAAAUAACAUGCCAGAAUCAAAGGGCUGCUUGGAGGGCUUUUGAGAAUCUUGAAUUCAAAGGAUACACAAAUAUGCUUGUGAAUCCAAAAUACCCGUCAUCCCCGGCCUAUUUCCUUUGUAUAAUUGUAUUGACUUGUCCUUGAAAUGAAUCAUUGACCGAAAUGCCUCGAAUCUUGUUCGGGUGUGUGAAUGAUUUCAAUCCAAACCACAAUUUUUCUUCUGUAAAUGAUUAUGACAGUCAGGCAAAAAUCCGCCUUGUAUGUCUGGUAUCACCGCCUUUGCAGGAGAAAUGGCAAAUAUAAUAGGCAUUGCAGCCUAUGGUGGAAGGCUCUGAAUCCACCAUAUCAUGGAGCCAGGCCACAAUUUGACAACAUUGUCACUGCUACUUUAUACAGAACAAUAAAAUGGUUCUCAAUGGAUGAAUCGAGAAUGAGGACCAAGAUAAGUUUAGGCAUAUGGAGAAGAUGCAGCAUUAUGGCCUUUUAUGGAUGCGUAUGGGUCAAAGGAAAAUUGCAUUGAAUGGAGAUUUUCUUAUAUUUCUGUAAGUUGUAUUGUAUCAUGUGAACUUCCGUAUUUUAAGGCUUUUGUGCCAUUUUGAAAUCAAUGGUAGAAUCUUGUACUGACUUAGUCUUGUCUUUCUAGAAACAAAUCGGAAAUCUAAACACUGUAUUCCAUUUUGGUUGUAUGCUUCAAAAGCUUGGCAAAUAUGCCUGUGCAGCUGUGCUUGUAAUUUGGAUGUGUACUUUACUUCAAAAAUCAAUUCUAUUUUUUUGUCUUGAAUUUCAAACAGGCCUUAAACUUAUGGGUUCAAGUUAAUCCUUAGUUUUAAUAAAGUGAAGCGGUGACUUAAAGUAAGGUAACACAAUUUCUUGGAUUAAACGAAAUUCAUACCGUAGCCUUUCAAGAGUAUAUAAAAAAUAAAGAACAUCAUGAUCUCCUUUCAAGGAAAUUUUCUCAUUUUGGAUGAAUAUCCAUGUGAAAUCUAAUAUGCAAAUUCCACAAAAAUGAUUCACUAAUCACAUGGGCAAAUUAGGGGUCAAAAUUAACAAUGCGACAAAUGACAACUGAUUAUCGAGUGUACUUCUAAUGGAUUUGAGUCAAAACAUCAUAAUCUAAUCUCAAGAAAACUUCUCCUUAAGUGUGCGUAUUCCUUAUAAAACAUAAUUACAUUUUGAGGUGGAUUGAGUUAAGGUAUUUCUUUUGAGAAUUGGGGUCAUAAUUUCACAACACUUAGUUUGCCCAUUGUUUGAUCAAAGCAACUUAGUCACCUUGGUUUAAAUAACCAUUUUACUUUCAUUAAGUUCAUAUUGCAAAACUGAAAGAUAGUAUGCUUCCAAAAUUCAAAGCAAAGACAAAGUAGAAUUGGCUUUUUAAUUGAAGUGCACAUUCAAAUGCAACCACAAGUAUGCUUAUUAAGUUGUCACAAGUUUUGUACCAAAUUCUAUGCCAAGCUGUUGAAAUAUACAUACAUACAGUGAGUAACAAGUUGGAGUACUAAUUUGAAUCUUCAAAUUUUUGUCAAUACAUCAAGUUUUUAAGACUACCAAAAGAAGGCUUAGUUGAUACAUAGUUCAACUAUUAAUUUCAAAGUGACACAAUCUCUACUUCGUGACCUUCACAUCAGGUUGUUAAGGCUACAAAUAUAAUGCAUAGUGAUACAUAUUUCAAGCAUUAAUGUCAAAGGGAGAAAGUCCUUAAUUUACAAGAUUGCAAAGGGAAGUAAGAUUAAAGUUACAAAGUCUUUCAUCCAAGCCAGAAAAAUAGCAAGUUUCUCAGUCAAACUUGAACCCCUAAAAUUUCUCUAACAAUUCACCACUCAAUCCCAUGCCACGAUUCCACAAUUGUCUCAGUCAAUUCUCACUACCUAAAAAUUCUCUAACCGUCACAUACACCAAGUCCAUAUAUCCCACUGUGUAAUAGAAAUACACGGUGAUACACAAAAGAAGGUGUAGAGGAAGAGGAAAGAAGAAUUGAAGAAGCCAACGAUUCAGCCACCGCGCCGGGGACGUAAAGCCACCGGACUUGCUCCGACGAGACAAGAGAUACAGAUGUCAAAGCAAAGAAUAACCAUAUGAUUUCAAGCAAUAAACUUGUUUGCGGAAUGUUAUUUCAAUUACAAGCAAAAAAUAAAUAAAUUUCUAGUCUAUCUAAAUAUCUCAAACAAGGUAGAUAGAUACUCAUCAUUAUGCAACAUUCAAGACGAAAUAGCGAAAGCCGGUAACAAUGCAGGAUCGAAUAAUGGCGAAAAUGGCGAAAAUGGUGAGAUAAUAAGUGGCUAUCAAGCUGCAAAGUUUCAAGGUGAGAUUCUUAACACAAAACAAGAGAAUAGUAAAGUUGCAAGUGAAUUGCAAUCAGGUCUCAGUCUUGUGAAAGGAAUGAAGAAUGAUGUUGAGAAAACACUUGAUGAAUUUGAUCGAUAAAUUGGGGUGAGUAGUGUUCAUAGUGACACAGAGAAACACAAGAGGGAAUAGAAUACCUUUGAGGUCUUUUCUGUUUGGUGUGAAGUUGAAGAGACAAAAACAUCAUCAAUCAUUGUUUGCAUGUGUUAACCCUACACUGUCGAAGCAAAAUAGUAUCAAUGAUCAAGCACCAGCUCUAAUAUAGAGUUUGAAUUUCAUUUACUUUAUUUAAUGUACUUGGAAAUUUGUUUAAGGGUUGUAGCAUGAUUGUGACAAGAUAUAGAACAUUGAAAUUGUUAUGCAACGAAAUUUGUUUAAGGAUUGUAGCAACGAAAUUUGUAACAUUUUCAGAUUUAUGAACUCGGUUCUUUUUGUUUUUGUCCUUGUUGUAUGCGAAAUUAUUCUUGUGGUUGUGGUGAAGUCCUCAUAAUAUAAUUAUAGUUGCUUUCUUUUAAAAUCAAAAUUCUUGAAAUAAAUUUGCUACGAUUUUGCCUACCGAUUAGCUACGAAAUUUAAUGGCUUCAAAGUGUGAUAUUGAUCUUGGCCAUGUGGCAUGACAUGUCAGCAUCUUGUCACCCUAGCAUUGUCACGUGGCGUGCCACGUCAGUUCUAUUAAUGGCGUUACACAUGAGAGAGCAAAAAUGUGGACGGAAAACUUUAUGAGGACCAUUCUUUGAAAGAAUUUUUUAAGACACUUGUUUAUCCAGAAUUUUGGUAAACAACCGCUAGUUUCUUAUUAAAGUUAACUUUGCAAGAUCAAGUAGUAAAUCUCAUGACUUUAUUGUGCUAUACUGUGUUUUAAUAUUAUUUGAUUUGUGUUUAAUGCGUAAAAGACAAAAUAUUGAAAAUAACAAUGCACAAAGUUUAAGGAAAUGACAGGAAAGAAAGGCAUAAAA